rnacentral:rRNA from 1 species
CCCUUAGAUGUUCUGGGCUGCACGCGCGCUACACUGAUGCAUCCAACAAGUUUUCUCCCUUGUUCGGUAGGACUGGGUAAUCUUUUGAGUAUGCAUCGUGAAGGGGAUAGAUUAUUGCAAUUAUUAAUCUUCAACGAGGAAUUCCUAGUAAGUGCAAGUCAACAGCUUGCGUUGAUUACGUCCCUGCCCUUUGUACACACCGCCCGUCGCUACUACUGAUUGGAUGUUUAAGCGAGGUUCUCGAACUGCUAGUGACUGAUCUUCGGUGAGGUCGCAGUGUGGGAAGUGAACCUAGCUUUGGUGUCUAGAGGAAGUAAAAGUCGUAACA